CAAUCGCUUUGGGUUAUGACUAGAUGGUAUAUAUCCCUCAAAAGCAGGUGACCCACUAGUUUUCUAGUCAUAACCAUCGCUUUGUGGAUUGUUCAGAGUCAUUACGAUCACUUUAUACGUAUAGACACGAUUACUUUACGAGUACAUACGUAAACUUUACGAUUAAGGAAAGGUAUAAAAGACGCAAAAUCUGACAGUUUCUUUCAGUUGUUAUCAAGACACCAAAGAAGUUACACGGCAGGGUCUAUAAGCCCGUGAACUGAUACAAUCAGCGGCCAUGGUGAAAAAAGAUGAAAACUUGCGUGUUUUCAGCACAGCUAUUCAGGAACCUAGAUCUAAAGAGUAUGAAUUGGACCCUAAUCAUGCUGAAUACCUGAGUAUUCGGGCAACAAAGAGCCUUCAAAAUGGUAUAGAAGAGUCUUGGAAUGGAACAGUGUGCAGCUUCAAUACCACAGAGUCGGCACCUGAAGGUUACGACCAAACACUAAUCAUUGGAGAUGAUCAUGUCGAUGUAAAACAUUUGACCACAGCACCCAUCCAAUACCCUGCAGAGGAUGAUGACCUUUGUUUUGGUGAAAAACCUUUGGAGGUGCUUGUGGAAGGAACUUACGGUGCAUGUAUGUCAUUGGAGACAGAUAAAGAGAAGAAUGUUCCAUGCAAGGAGAGAAGACCACGUGAACCCACUGACUUCUGGCAUGUUACAUGUAAAAGAAUGCAGAAAAUCCCGUGUUUGGUAUUGACUGUUCUCAACUCUCAGAUGGUUAUACAGACAGGAAAGCUGGCACAUGAUGUGAAAAAGAUCCUUCUGCAAGAGACCUAUUUUAUAUGCGACUUCCUAUUUAAGACUGUAACAGGAAAUUUGAGUGGGCGGAUGGGAAGUUGGCGGAAUAUAUUCUGGAUGUUGUUGUUCCUCAUAAUGUUAUUUCAGAACAUAUUCCAGGUGGCAGCGACUUCAGGAGUUGAGCUAUGUUCGGAGACGACUGUUGAAACAAUGAGAGUAGUGAAGGAUUGCCCCAUAGACAAGAAAACCUGGGAUGAAAGAGAAGCUCAGAUGAACUGUUCUUCAGUAGUACCGACACAAUGUGUUGAAUUGAAGUAUCACUGCGUUGUUAAUGGAUUCGGAAACGCUAAUGUUGAAGUAUGCGCUCAACCAAAAUACAUUCAACCUGGGAGUUGCCCAGAAUUCAACGAAAAAGGAAGGAAAAUACAAAACAGCCAUCACUUCAAACCUUCUCACCCCCCAGAAAAUGCUUUCAUUUCGACUGAUGUUUAUAAUUAUCGUGAAUGCUUGCAUCUUCCCUCUCCUGUGACAUCCAGUACAACCACCAUAAGACAGACAACUCCACCCACAAGUUUGCCCAUCAAUGAAAAAAAUGAUUCAAAUCCGGCUUUUUAUGAGGACAAGAGCAGGGAUAAAGAAGCUUCCCACAUAGGAUGGAUCUUGGGCAUUUCUGUACCCGUCAUCUGUUUGAUAAUGACUUUUUUCAUCUGUCGCUGGUGCAAAAAGUAUAAAGAAAGGAAAAAUCUUGCAGGAGCAACAGAUGAAGAACAGGGGAGAGAGGAUCAAUGUACUGGUGUAUUGCUGCAAGAUGAGAGGGAAGGCAGUCAAUACUUAUUAUUUCCAUUAGUGGAACUCUUCAAAUUAAAGGCUCGUAAAGUCGUGCUACUGGGACAUCAUACACGUAAACAUUACUUUAGGCAUACGUAAUAUAAAUUAUGGUAUCGAAUACAUAUUAUAACCGACUGCAAACCACGACACUGAUUAAAAUUCUAAAAGCAAAAGGAAUUGAUUAUUCUUGCAAGAAAACAGACGAACUUAUUAAACUAUGUAAAGGAGUACAGGUACUAAAUCUGCCAAAUGUGACCGAUAUAAAGCAUCAAUCGCAAGAAGAACUGUGAAGGGAAAAACCAAUAUGCACAUCCGACACAAUAACUUUUCUUGUAAUUAAUGGGAUUCAAAUGCUAUUAAAAUUAUUCUGUCAGAUUAUGAAGACAUUCUAUUUUAUCAUACAAUUUGGACAGGUUCAUAUGGCAUGGACUUUGUAAUCGUUAAUGUAACCCCCCUCCCUCUCUCUCUCUCAUUUUCAAAUAUUUUAGAAUAAGUUAUAUAUUUGCCAAACUGCAAUUUUUUUUAGACGUUUAUAACACUAAUUAACACAACAAAUUCGUUUCUAAACUGCAUGUAAGCUAUUUUGAAAAUUACAAAAUAUUGAUUGACUUAGGACAGAGAACAUCGUUGUUUGGAAUUUUUAUAAAAGGUGUAGUAGAGUUUUAAAAAACAUGUAACAUCCUUGAUAAACUAAUGUUAGAAUAUUUGGAAAAUGCAGUUUGACCAAUGGCUCUUUUAUUUAAAAGUACACCAUGUACUUUAACUUAAAAAAAGGGGGGGGGGGGGGCUAUGAACGUUUCGUUUAUGUCCCAGUAAUCUCGCACUUGCUCGCGAGACUUGUGCAUUUUCUUACCAAUGACGCACAAGAGUGAUCAAAGCGCGAUAACUCUAAUGUGCUGGUAAUGAGAAGUAUUGCAGAAUGGUGGCAGAAAUAUUGCAGAAAAUGGGGUCGAAAACAAUGUGGAGAACAGGGGCAGAGAUGCUGCUGAGAACGGGCAUUGUGGAUAACGUAAACAAUGGAUGGGGAUGGACUGGACAAGUUGUGUCAGCAUAUCAGUGUAUUUGUUGGAAUAAAGUCCAUAGUACUCUC